GAUCAUGGCUCAGGAUGAACGCUGGCGGCGUGCUUAACACAUGCAAGUCGAGCGAAGCGGUUUAAGUGAAGUUUUCGGAUGGAUCUUGGAUUGACUGAGCGGCGCACGGGUGAGUAACGCGUAUCCGACCUGCCCAUCACUUGGGAAUAACCUUGCGAAAGUAAGACUAAUGCCCAAUGACAUCCCACGAAGGCAUCCGAAUGGGAUUAAAGAUUUAUCGGUGAUGGAUGGGG
rnacentral:rRNA from 1 species